rnacentral:rRNA from 1 species
UACGUAGGGUGCAAGCGUUAAUCGGAAUUACUGGGCGUAAAGCGUGCGCAGGCGGUGAUGUAAGACAGGUGUGAAAUCCCGGGCUUAACCUGGGAACUGCAUUUGUGACUGCAUCGCUGGAGUGCGGCAGAGGGGGAUGGAAUUCCGCGUGUAGCAGUGAAAUGCGUAGAUAUGCGGAGGAACACCGAGUGGCGAAGGCAAUCCCCGUGGGCCUGCACUGACGCUCAUGCACGAAAGCGUGGGGAGCAAACAGG